CCCUUAGAUGUUCUGGGCGGCCCGCGCACUACAUUGGCACUAGCAAAGAGAUCCUAGAUUGAAUUCUUUGGGGUAUUCUUCUAAAUGGUGUCGUGACUGGGAUAAAUCCUUGUAAUUAUUGGUUUUGAACGAGGAAUUCCUUGUAAUCGCGGUUUAUCGGCUCGCGUUGAAUGCGUCCCUGCCCUUUGUACACACCGCCCGUCGCUCCUACCGAUGGAUCGUCCGGUGAAGCUCACGGAGUGACUGUUCACGCAACGGUUUACGAAGUGAAAUGGACCUCACGAUUUAGAGGAAGGAGAAGUCGUAACA
rnacentral:rRNA from 1 species